ACUCUCGUGAUUUGUCAGUUUGGCCCACUACCACUAGCUUCAUAAAUUUUAUUUCAUUUUUGUCUGCUAGUAAUCAUUAUGAAACAUUGUGAUCUUGGUCCAUGAUUCGACCUAUAAGAUAAUUUAUUAUAUAAGAACAAUCAAGCAAAUCUGUUUCUCAUCCAAAUCUCAAGGAUCUUUCCGCAUGGGUUCUCUCGAUUUACCUCACGUAUCAUCGUUCAAGGGAGGAAGCGAAAUAUUUCUUAGGAACGUGUUUGAGAAUAUACUGAAGACGUAUUUGAGGAAGAACCCGACCGCGAAGACGAUAUGGGAGCUCGUUCAGUCCGUGGACAAUGAGAAGAUCUGCUAUGACCACUUUACUUUCAGGACACUUAAGGUAGAUGGAUAUGGAAUAGAUUCCUUAUCGAGUUUUUUCAUGGAUUAUGGAUAUAAAAUUGGAGGCGGACUUGAUUUUCCUAAGAAGAAACUGCGAGUUCUCUGGUUUUCUCCACCGGAUGCUCAAGCCCCAAAUGACGGUCACGGUCUAGCCAAUGGUCCUUUGCCACGACUUGUUAUAGCUGAGGUUCUUGUGGACGAACUAAGCCUUGAAUCACAGGGGAUAAUAAGGAAGUAUUUGAAACCACUAGGUGGUAAACAAGCCGUUCUUUCAAGUACUUUAGGGUCUUUAAUUUGGGAGAAGCCUACAUGGGCCGACUUCACGCAGCUUGCCAAAGAAAGCGAAUUUGCGGCAUGGACACUUAUCCACGGCUAUACAAUGAACCAUCUCGCUUUUGCGGUUCAUCGAUUUAAACACCGUUUCAACGACAUUAAAUAUGUCAAAGAAUAUCUUGAAGAAAAGGGAUUCAAACUCAACAGUGACGGAGGAAUUCUCAAAGUGAGUCAAGAUGGUCUACUGAUACAAAUCUCAUCCAUCUCGGAAAGGCUUGCGGUUGAAUUUGCUGAUGGAGUAACUGAAAUAAUCCCGGCUUCGUACAUUGAGUUCACGCAACGUUUAGCUCUUCCACAGUUCAAAGAUAUGCCGAGUGAUGAGAUCAAAGAAUAUCACAGACGUGAGGCCUUUGAACUCGAUAGUGCCAACCACGUAAUGGAAAGCACACGUUUUGCAGCACAAUUCUAGAACUAAAGUUGUUGUGUUCGGCUCAGUGUGUCAAAUUUGUGCGUGUAUGUGCUUGUAUGCAAUAUGUUCAAAUGUGUGUGUGUGUGUGCGCUUUUCUAGAUCCUUAUGUUGUUCUUUUCUUUUGGAGUGAAAAUUACUUUUAUAUAUAACAUCUCGUGAUAGUUAUAUAUUAUUGAUAAGCGUGCCAGUUUGUACAAUGAAUCACAUGGUUCAUGAAUAUGGUUUGUAAUAUUUGUUGUUUUUAAAAAAAAACUAGAUCUCGACCCGCACAACCGUGCGGGUGUUUGUUUUGACUUAUA